rnacentral:rRNA from 3 species
GGCGAGUGAAGCGGCAACAGCUCAAAUUUGAAAUCUGGCCUCUUUUGGGGUCCGAGUUGUAAUUUGCAGAGGGCGCUUUGGCGUUGGCAGCGGUCCAAGUUCCUUGGAACAGGACGUCACAGAGGGUGAGAAUCCCGUACGUGGUCGCUGGCCUUCGCCGUGUAAAGCCCCUUCGACGAGUCGAGUUGUUUGGGAAUGCAGCUCUAAAUGGGAGGUAAAUUUCUUCUAAAGCUAAAUACUGGCCAGAGACCGAUAGCGCACAAGUAGAGUGAUCGAAAGAUGAAAAGCACUUUGGAAAGAGAGUCAAACAGCACGUGAAAUUGUUGAAAGGGAAGCGCUUGCAGCCAGACUUGCCUGUAGUUGCUCAUCCGGGCUUUUGCCCGGUGCACUCUUCUAUAGGCAGGCCAGCAUCAGUUUGGGCGGUUAGAUAAAGGUCUCUGUCAUGUACCUCUCUUCGGGGAGAACUUAUAGGGGAGGCGACAUGUAACCAGCCCAGAUUGAGGUCCGCGCAUUUGCUAGGAUGCUGGCGUAAUGGCUGUAAGCGGCCCGUCUUGAAACACGGACCAAGGAGUCUAACAUCUAUGCGAGUGUUUGGGUGUCAAGCCCGAGCGCGCAAUGAAAGUGAACGGAGGUGGGAACCCCUCGGGGUGCACCAUCGACCGAUCCUGAUGUCUUCGGAUGGAUUUGAGUAAGAGCAUAGCUGUUGGGACCCGAAAGAUGGUGAACUAUGCUUGAAUAGGGUGAAGCCAGAGGAAACUCUGGUGGAGGCUCGCAGCGGUUCUGACGUGCAAAUCGAUCGUCAAA